rnacentral:rRNA from 1 species
CCUACGGGGGGCUGCAGUGGGGAAUAUUGGACAAUGGGGGGAACCCUGAUCCAGCCAUGCCGCGUGUGUGAAGAAGGCCCUCGGGUUGUAAAGCACUUUCAGUGAGGAAGAACGCCUGGUGGUUAAUAUCCAUCAGGAAAGACAUCACUCACAGAAGUAGCACCGGCUAACUCCGUGCCAGCAGCCGCGGUAAUACGGAGGGUGCGAGCGUUAAUCGGAAUUACUGGGCGUAAAGCGCGCGUAGGUGGCUUGAUAAGCCGGUUGUGAAAGCCCCGGGCUCAACCUGGGAACGGCAUCCGGAACUGUCAAGCUAGAGUGCAGGAGAGGAAGGUAGAAUUCCCGGUGUAGCGGUGAAAUGCGUAGAGAUCGGGAGGAAUACCAGUGGCGAAGGCGGCCUUCUGGACUGACACUGACACUGAGGUGCGAAAGCGUGGGUAGCAAACAGGAUUAGAUACCCUAGUAGUC